rnacentral:rRNA from 1 species
GACGAACGCUGGCGGCGUGCUUAACACAUGCAAGUCGAACGGAAAGGCCCUGCUUUUGUGGGGUGCUCGAGUGGCGAACGGGUGAGUAACACGUGAGUAACCUGCCCUUGACUUUGGGAUAACUUCAGGAAACUGGGGCUAAUACCGGAUAGGAGCUCCUGCUGCAUGGUGGGGGUUGGAAAGUUUCGGCGGUUGGGGAUGGACUCGCGGCUUAUCAGCUUGUUGGUGGGGUAGUGGCUUACCAAGGCUUUGACGGGUAGCCGGCCUGAGAGGGUGACCGGCCACAUGGGGACUGAGAUACGGCCCAGACUCCUACGGGAGGCAGCAGUGGGGAAUAUUGCACAGUGGGCGGAAGCCUGAUGCAGCAACGCCGCGUGCGGGAUGACGGCCUUCGGGUUGUAAACCGCUUUCGCCUGUGACGAAGCGUGAGUGACGGUAAUGGGUAAAGAAGCACCGGCUAACUACGUG